CCCAGGCUACACGGAAGUCCACAUGUAGGUAUUCUGGCUGACAGUCACAGCUGAGGUCCCAGCCAACAGCCAGCAUUAACCUCCAGAUAUAUGGGUCACCAGCCCCAGCCCACUCUUACUGCAACCAUAAGAUACCUGGAGAGAAAAUGGCUUCACUGAACCCGGUCAACCAUGAGAACAAUGACAAGUAACAAUAAUAAUAAUAAUAAUGAUGGUAGCAAUAAAUUAUCAUUGUUUUACACCACCAGGUUUGGGUGGUUUGUUACUCGGCAGUAGAUACUUAGAACAGAGCUUAGACAAAGUUGUAGCCUCACAUUUCCUUCCCGAAGAGCAGUGACCACAGAAGAGAAUUUUAAUGAAUAAAUAUGAUCUCAUUUGAUGAUGAAGAUGUCAGUAAUUUCGCAACCUGCUGUGUCCUCAGUUGGACCUUGGUUGUCUUGUGCCUUACUGCCUCAAAUUUCAGGUACCACCCUGAUCUUUGCUGAAGUAUAGGGGAAGUUUUGGGGAAGAAGGUCACUCAGCAGUUUGUGAAGGGAUCACUCAGCAAGGGCAGGAUGGCAGCCUUAGAGGCUUGCUCUGCUUUAAAGAUGAGAGAGGGAGUCAGAAAGCAGGUUCUCUUACAUUUCAUCAAGAACCAUCCUUCAGUGUCAUCACUGACUUUUUUUUUUUUUUUCAGCAAAAGGCCAAAUUUUAUACAAAGAGUUUAUGGAAAUUGGUAAGAAAGACAACUGGAAUAUCUAAUUUAUAAAUGAACAGCCCUCCCCUCACAGGCACACACAAAACCAAACAAGGAAAAAACCUUCCAAAACCAAGCCAAAGCAAACAAAACCCAAACGAAGCCCAAGAACAUACAACUCUCAAGGGAGGAGCUACACUUGGUAAAAGAAAAGCUUAAGGAAACAAAAGUUGACCCUCCCUGUAAGAAGUGAAACUAAAGAAGAACCAAAAUACCAGGAGCACCUCUUAAGUCAACAAAAACAUACCAACAGACAAGACCAAGUAAAGCUAUUGUUGCUGGCAUACUGAAACCGCAGAAACACUUUAAAAAACAUUUAGGCAUUGAUAUCAAAUACCAAAACCACAGUGAUCCCCCUUGGCUGCUCUUUUGGGACUAUAACCCCCAGGAAACAUUCUACAUAAGACAAUACUAAUAUUUAACAGGACCUUUAGCCUCAUCCAAAAUAGUGAUAAAAAGCAGCCAUGAAAACAUCCAAUAAAAUGGCAAAUUAACUAAAGUACAUCCAUUCAUUGGAAUACUACACAACCAUCUAAAUGAUGCUCUUAAGGCUAUGUAGCAAUAGGAAAAUGCUUAUAGUGUGGCAAGUGAAAUGUGAAUAUAAAACUAUAUUUUAUCAUCACAACUAUGCAAGUCCUGUGCAUGUACAUGGAUAUUAAAGAGAGAUGGAUGCAGCAAAACACAACUUCCUAUUCCGCAAAGUCUGGCUGCCUCUCCCAGAGUGUGGGGCUCCAUGGAGGGCACAGGAAUUUACACAUUAAAGCCUUCAGAACUUCUCUAGAGGCCUGAUUCAGGAUGGACUUGGACUAAUUUUUAUAUUAUAGAACAAGAACAUGAUGAACUUUCAUGGAUUUUUAUGUCAGAGGUCAAGGUGCUUACUUUGCUUUGAUUUAUUAUUUUCUUCUAGUGCUCAAACUGCACCUCUCAUAGAUAUAGCCUGGUGAUGCUCUCCCAAUUUCAGCCUCUCUGUUCUGGCAAGACAGACCUAGAGACUAUUUCUGCCUAUGGAAUUUCAACCCGGGCUCUACGUAAAAUGAGCUUGCUGUGUCCUCUACAUUUUUAUUUACAGGAGUUUGGUUGCAAUCAUCAUGAAAGGACUCUCCCAUGGAGUUUUGGUGCGUUCAUAUCUAGUAAAACUGGGUUAUCACAAGUUCCUCUUGUAAUGUGUUUUCUUUCUGUGGGAAUGACUGUAGAGAAAUGCACUGCCAAUGAAAAUCCUUCCUGAUUCUCAUUUUGACUUUAAACGCUCGGCUACUGAUGGAGAAAAGGUGGAAAGUGAAUGUCUUCCCAAUGCUCAAGCAAUUAAAGAAUCCUGAUGAUUUUUACCAAAUCAGGCUGCUCUGUGUACAAUAGUAACUAGAAGUUCAAA